GUGCCAUGUGUUCGCUCUCCAGGUUGGCGUGUAUGCCGUGAUGGUGUGUGUGUGUCCCCUUCCGGUUAGCCACCGCUGCCGCCGCUAGCUUCUGACGGCUUCAUUAUUUAUUGGUGCAGGCUACAGCCCGCCAUGCAGCCUGCCUGGCGUUAGGUUGCUGUUGUUGCCCUGCCUUGCCUCUUGCCUUUAUCUCCACGUUUUGUUUCUUUUUGUUGCCUUGCUCAUAGUUGCUCUGCCCUCGUCAGUUAGACGCUCGUUUUAAA